GAUUGAACGCUGGCGGUAUGCUUAACACAUGCAAGUCGAACGGAAACGAUACUAGCUUGCUAGUAGGCGUCGAGUGGCGGACGGGUGAGUAACGCGUAGGAAUCUACCUGAUAGUGGGGGAUAGCCCGAAGAAAUUCGGAUUAAUACCGCAUAAUCUAUUCGUAGUAAAGUGGGGGACUUUCGAGCCUCACGCUAUCAGAUGAGCCUGCGUAAGAUUAGCUAGUUGGUAGGGUAAAAGCCUACCAAGGCUACGAUCUUUAGCUGGUCUGAGAGGGUGAUCCCCCACACUGGUACUGAGACACGGACCAGACUCCUACGGGAGGCAGCAGUGAGGAAUAUUGGUCAAUGGGCGCAAGCCUGAACCAGCCAUGCCGCGUGCAGGAAGAAUGCCCUAUGGGUUGUAAACUGCUUUUAUUUAGGAAUAAACCCCUCUACGUGUAGAGGGCUGAAUGUACUAAACGAAUAAGCACCGGCUAACUCCGUGCCAGCAGCCGCGGUAAUACGGAGGGUGCAAGCGUUAUCCGGAAUCAUUGGGUUUAAAGGGUCCGCAGGCGGACGUAUAAGUCAGUGGUGAAAUCCUGCAGCUUAACUGCAGAACUGCCAUUGAUACUGUACGUCUUGAAUUCGGUCGAAGUGGGCGGAAUGUGUAGUGUAGCGGUGAAAUGCAUAGAUAUUACACAGAACACCGAUAGCGAAAGGCAGCUCACUAGGCCUGGGAUUGACGCUCAGGGACGAAAGCGUGGGGAUCAAACAGGAUUAGAUACCCUGGUAGUCCACGCUGUAAACGAUGAUUACUCGUUUUCGGCGAUAUACAGUCGGAGACUAAGCGAAAGUGAUAAGUAAUCCACCUGGGGAGUACGAUCGCAAGGUUGAAACUCAAAGGAAUUGACGGGGGCCCGCACAAGCGGUGGAGCAUGUGGUUUAAUUCGAUGAUACGCGAGGAACCUUACCAGGGCUUAAAUGCAGAGCGAAUAGUUUGGAAACAGACUAGCCUUCGGGCGAUCUGCAAGGUGCUGCAUGGCUGUCGUCAGCUCGUGCCGUGAGGUGUUGGGUUAACUCCCGCAACGAGCGCAACCCCUAUCUUUAGUUGCCAGCGAGUAAUGUCGGGGACUCUAAAGAAACUGCCUACGCAAGUAGUGAGGAAGGCGGGGACGACGUCAAGUCAUCACGGCCCUUACGUCCUGGGCCACACACGUGCUACAAUGGUUGGUACAGAGGGCAGCUACCGGGUGACCGGAUGCGAAUCUCUAAAGCCAAUCUCAGUUCGGAUUGGAGUCUGCAACUCGACUCUAUGAAGCUGGAAUCGCUAGUAAUCGCGCAUCAGCCAUGGCGCGGUGAAUACGUUCCCGGGCCUUGUACUCACC
rnacentral:rRNA from 1 species